AAUGAUGUGGCUCAGUGGUAGAGCACUUGCCUAGCAUGCAUAGACCCUGGGUUCAAUUCCCAAUACCACAA
rnacentral:tRNA from 1 species